UAGGACUCCACUAGGGUCUCGUCAUCCGGUGCCGAUUUCGCCGACAACACCUCCUUGGUGGCCGCCGCAACCACAAUGACAGGGGCAAAACAGUCGCACGACAUAUAAAAAUGGGAAAACAUUCCCAAAUUGUGAGAAAUGGAGAAAAUGGCAAAUCAACAAAGUGAUGUCGUUUGAUAAUAGUAUUUUGGCAAAACCCAAAUCCGGAAUGGCAAACUAGAUGAAACCCGUCUUUGAUAAUGGCUGGAUAGCAAAUAAUGGAUAGUCGGAUCUGAAAAACUAACAGAAGAACUUGGAAGCGUUGAACCUCUCUCGAGGCCGCAUCUCUGUUAAUAUGUGGCGACAACAGCCGUCGCCGUGACAUGUACAUCGGUUUAGCCGCGUGUGGUUGUUCCAGCCUAACUAACACU
rnacentral:lncRNA from 1 species